ACGAACGCUGGCGGCGUGCUUAACACAUGCAAGUCGAACGGAAAGGCCCUGCUUUUGUGGGGUGCUCGAGUGGCGAACGGGUGAGUAACACGUGAGUAACCUGCCCUUGACUUUGGGAUAACUUCAGGAAACUGGGGCUAAUACCGGAUAGGAGCUCCUGCUGCAUGGUGGGGGUUGGAAAGUUUCGGCGGUUGGGGAUGGACUCGCGGCUUAUCAGCUUGUUGGUGGGGUAGUGGCUUACCAAGGCUUUGACGGGUAGCCGGCCUGAGAGGGUGACCGGCCACAUUGGGACUGAGCUACGGCCCAGACUCCUACGGGAGGCAGCAGUGGGGAAUAUUGCACAAUGGGCGGAAGCCUGAUGCAGCAACGCCGCGUGCGGGAUGACGGCCUUCGGGUUGUAAACCGCUUUCGCCUGUGACGAAGCGUGAGUGACGGUAAUGGGUAAAGAAGCACCGGCUAACUACGUG
rnacentral:rRNA from 1 species